GCCUGGGACAGAGAGAAGGCAGAUGGACUCGGUUGGAUCCCACGGGACACAGGUCUCUCCCAACCACAGGACCCCCCACCAAAGUGGCCGCCUCGGGAAGUUUCCUGCCCAGGUCUCAGUGCUUGAGCAGCGCCGUCUUCCUGCUCUCUCUUCCCAGACCCUGUCACCAGAGGGGUAAGUACCACCCCCUCCUUCCUCCCGCCACAGCCAUGCAGGAGUUUCCUGGGGGCCAAGGGCUUUGGUUUGGGCAAAUGCCAAUCUACAUAGAGUGAAAGGGAGAAGCAGGUGCAAAUGUGCUAGCAGGAAAACAGCCAAAGGAAUGGAGAAAAACCCAAGGUAGAAAAUGGAGGAAGAAAUUUAACAGCAGGGGCAGCAGAGCUAUCCGAGUUACCUAGGCACCGUCCUGCAAAAUCAGGGGAGUUCUUUUCAAACUACAAGUGCUGUCAUGCCAUGCCCUGAGACUCUGAUUGUGAAACUGUGCUAGGACAGGGGUUCUCUACAUUGCAGAAGCACAUCAGCUAACUCCAAGGGGAGUGUUUAGGCGGCAAGCACUGCGGGAGCUGUCCUGCCAGAAAAAUUUCUUGAGGGUUCUCCCAAAAUAAGCUUUCAAUUCAGAAAGGAAGCAGCGUAAAGAGCAUGAGCUUUGCAGUCAGGAAGAAUUCAGCUCCACUGCAAGCUGUGAGGGAGCAGGUUCCCUUUCCUCUUGAGUCAGCUUCCUCUUGCGUAUAAGGGCAGUAUCACUACCUGCCUGGCAAGGCCAUUGCAAAGAUUAAAUUACAGACUUAACCGGCUUGGAGUUGCUGUUGUGACUUAGUGGGUUAAGAACCCGACUAGUAUCCAUGACGAUGAGGGUUUGAUCCCUAGCCUUGCUCAGUGGGUUAAAGGAUCCACACUGUUAGCUGUGGCAUAGGUCACGGAUGCGGCUUGGGUCUGGCGUUGCUGUGGCUGUGCUGCAGGCCAGCAGCACUAGCUCCAAGUCGACCCCUAGCCAGGGAACCUCCAUAUGCCGUGGCUGUGGCCCUAAGAAGACACACACACAAAAAACUAAAGGGUUGUGAUUACUGACUACUUCCUACAUGUCAGGCCCUAUGCUAAGUACAUUACAGUUUAUUUAAUCUUCACCCUAGGAAAUACAUGUUGCUCUCUCCAUCUCGUAGAUGUAGAAACUGAGGUUCAGAGAGCUUAGGGCACUUGCCCAAGCUUAUCUACUCAGCUGGGGGCAGAGCCAAGAUGGGUCUAACUUCAGAGUUCAAGCUAUGAAACACUGUGCUUUACCCUUUACAAAGGGGGGCGCUUGUGGGGUACUCAGUAAACGUGGCUUCAUUAUUAUUAAGAUAUUUUUGGGAGUUCCCAUCGUGGCGCAGUGGUUAACGAAUCUGACUAGGAACCAUGAGGUUGCGGAUUCGAUCCCUGGCCUUGCUUGGUGGAUUAAGGAUCCAGCGUUGCCGUGAGCUGUGGUGUAGGUCGCAGUUGCGGCUCGGAUCCUGUGUUGCUGUGGCUCUGGUGUAGGCCAGCGGCUACAGCUCCGAUUAGACCCCUAGCCUGGGAAUCUCCAUAUGCCGCUAGUGCGGCCCUAGAAAAGGCAAAAAGUAAAAAAGUAAAAAAAAAAAAAAAAAAAAAAAAAAGAAUAUGCUUUCUGUCAAGAAAGGCAAGGUUCUGUGUGAUUGUGUAUCAUUACUAAUCUACUAUGGAUAUGAGGGAAAAAUAAAGCAUUUAUUUAAAAAAAAAAAAGUAUUUUUGACCAUCAGCCAGAUUUCCUUAUUUUCGCUAUAGAAGUAUCCACUUCCACAGAAUCUGACCAGCAUUUUAUUGUCUCUCUUUUAAAAACUAUUCUUGGGAGUUCCCAUCAUGGCACAGUGUAAACGAAUCCGACUAGGAACCAUGAGGUUGCGGAUUCGAUCCCUGGCCUUGUUCAGUGGGUUAAGGAUCCAGCAUUACUGUAGCUGUGGUAUAGGCUGGCAGCUACUGCUCCGAUUAGACCCCCUAACCUGGGAACCUCCAUAGGCCGUGGGUGUGGCCCUAAGAAGACAAAAAGACAAAAAAAAAAAAAAAAGCUAUUUGAUGCCCUGAAAUAGUGUCAACAAACAACUUAAUUACUUUAGCUCUUGUUCCUUUAAUAGUACUAAAUUCUAGUGAGUUCUCUUUACCUCUAAGGAAAGAUGGGAGAAGGACAGUGAAUUGCAGUGCCAAUUUUUCCAGUCUGUUCUAAGAUAUUUAUAUGAGGGAGGGAAGGUAUUUGAAGUCAUGCCUUAUCUUGGACUUGAAUGAUGUGAAAUUUCUGGUAAUUCACACAAGAUUCUUGGCUCAUGUUCUAGAUCUAUUAAUAUUCAAGUAUUUCUGAGAUGCAAACAUUGUAUAUAAACAAGAUAGAAAGUAGUACAGAAGUUACAAAAUCCAGUGCCUAUGGGAACCAGCCAGGUGGAUUCGGCGAGUGAAGACAUCUGGAUGUGAGACUCUCAGGAUGUGCCAAGAUAAGAGAACCAGGUGAACAUUUAUUUCCUGAUGCCAGAGUCAACCUAUAUCAGCAGGAGCACUAUUGAUUUCAGCAUCAAAAAAGUCCCAGCAGGCUGUGGUUACAGGCAGACACCUGUGGCACAACAAGGAGCAGAGCCCAUCAGCCCAGAUAGGGUUACCUUUUUGCGUGGCCGAAGCUUGUCCCGCCAUUCUUUCAGGUUCUGGUUAUGGCUUUCAUCCAGGGCCUUCAGCUUCUGAGUUUCAUGCUCUACCAAGAGGUGACACUUUUCAUUCUGAAACAUAUUCCAGGCAGAACAGGAGAGAUUUGUGACAAAGGAUGAGGGCCAUGGACCUGGCUGAAGCUCUGCCAACCUCACUGUUCUCUCUGAGGGUCUGGGCCCCCAGAUUGCUGAGUGCCUGGGAGAGACGGAGGCCGGCAGGGCAGGGGGCAGUACCUGGAGCUGCUGCAGCUCACUCAUGUUGCUCUCGCACUGUGCCACCAUGUCCCGCAUCUGGUUCUCAUGUUUUUGCUGCUGCUGCAACCGCUCCGACUUCUGUCUCUUCUCCUCCUGCUGGGAGAACUGCAACAGAGAAUAGGUGGAUGCCUCAGGGGGCCACGGGCCUGGCGGGGGUGCCUAGGAGACCCCAUCUGAGGGGCUGGUUUAUGCACAGCCUGCACCACUCGGGCUGGGCCCCUCUGUUUCAGGUCCUUCACCUGAGCUGAGACCCAGCCCCUGCCCUCAAGGAACCCCCAGAUCCAUGAGAACAUGACACUGCUAUGACAUGGGCUAGGACAGCAUGGGUAGCAGACCGGAAUCACAGGAGCCCAGGGCCACCAACUCCACGUCCCCAAGCCACAUGGGUGACUUGUGAGUGGAGUCUUGGUGGGUGAGAGGCAGGAGCUUACUGCAGAAGCAGCUGCAGGAUAGAAACCCAGAGUAUGAAAGGGAAUGGCACAUGCCUGCCCCGUCCACCGCGGGGGGUUCAACAUGAGACUUACGAGGCUUCUGGGCUGAGACUCGGGCUUCCAUUCCUUCCCCCUUUCCAAGACCCUGUGCUGCAUCUUAUAUUUCUGUUCCCCCAACCAUGGAAGAUUCAGGCCCCAUCAAACUGGAUCCGUCCGCAGUCCAGUACCCCCAGACCCCCACCUGCUUGAUCUUCUCACGCUGCUCAGCGGCGCUGCCCGCUCCGUUGAUGUGGAGGCUCUUCUUGUACAUGGCCAUGCGCGUCUUGCCCUCGCUCCUCUGAAUCUUGGGCAGCCGUGCCUUCUCCUGCUGCUGCCGCACCUUCAGCUGCUCCAUCAUGCGCUGGUUGUAGCGCUGCAUCUGCUCACGCUCCUGCAGGAGACACCCAGCCAGGGCCAAGGUCAGCUGUGCUUCAGGCACGUGGCUGUGGUCAGAGGUCAAGGCUGCCACACUCAACUCAGGAGCCCUGGGCUGGCGUGGUCCAGAAUGCUCAGCACAGCACGGCUUGUGUCAUUUUACCUCUCCUAAGUAACAUUUUCUGGUCUCAACUUUAAAAGUUACCAUGCAUGACAUUCUGGAUUCUUACCUACCAAAUGCCCUCUCAUCGAAGCAAUGGUGGCAUGCUCUCCCGAGCUAGUGUCUCAAAGCAAAAUGUAUAUUCAUGAGAUGGUUCCUCAUUUUUGAUGACAGGUGUCAAUUCGUAUUUUUUAAAGUCUUGAUAAAGUUGAAUUCUUUUCUUCACCUAGCACCUGUUUGUAUUUCAAAAUUCAGCACAGGCAUCACCUCCCCCGAGAAAUCUCCUCGACUCCCUAGCCAGGCUGGCUUCCCACCAAGCCACCAGAGCCUCGUGCUGACGUCCAUCACUGCCCUGAGGCCCGCGGGUGUGAUGCCCGACACCGGCUGCGCAGCCACACCUUGGUUCCUCUGUCACUGUCCCCACUUAGGGGUCUGAACCAAGACAGUUACACAGAAGUAGAGGGUGUUGGUGCUCUGGCCACACAGAGCAGGGCCCUCACCUCGUCUGGGGGAGGUUAGGGAAGGCUUCCUGGCAGAGGUGGUAUUUAAGUUGAAACCUAAAACUGUUCUGAGGGAAGGCAGGGGAAAGAGAAAGUGAACAUGGAAAGGCAGGACGAAUAAAGAGGAAAGAGGGGAGAAAAGUGAAAAAGACACAGCCUCAGGUGUCAGCAUCAGCAAGGGGGCUGCUCGGGCCAUCUGCUUCCCUGCAUGGUUUCCCCGAUUCCUGGCCCCUUGAUCUGGGGCAGGACAGCCCCCAAGAACCUCUCGAGCCUCCCUGUGACCAACUUGGCUCCUCCUGGGAGCAAGUGAUGCACCACCUGGGGUGGCCUCAUGGCCCUCCCAGGUCUCUCAGUGGCAGCCCUGCCCCCUUGCCAGCACGGAGCCUCACCUUCUCAUGCUUGCGCACUAGCUCGUGCCGCUGGAGGAAGUAUUGGUCUUUGAGCUGCUGCUUCACCAGCUGGUGCCUCUCCUGCAGAUGAUGCUCCUCCAUCUCCCACAGCGCCGCCUCCCGGUCUGCAGAGGACAGGCCACCCCGUGAGGCGCAGGUGGCCAGAGCCCGACCAGACCCUCCCCUCCACUCCCCUGAGUCAGGUCACCUCAUGCUGCACCUGAUCACUGUGCCACCUCAUCAGACUAUGGUCAGUGGCCGAGCCAACUCCCAGAAACUUCCUUAAUACCUCCACGAUGACAGCUGCCAGCAGCAUGGCACAGCAGGAAGUGUUCGGAGCCAGAGAAACCAGACACCUAGGCUAGAGCCCAGCUGCACCACUGGGAUUUGGGGUGAGCGGAAACUCCUCUCCAGGCCUCAUCUUUCACCUCUGCCAAAGGGGCACAACCAUGCCACAGAAGGCGAAAUGUCCUUGGAAGAUUCUUUAUGUUUAGCCUGCCCUGCACCUCUGCCUUCCUAUUGGGCAAAUGGGAAGCGCUCACGUAGAAACCCCAUGACAAGACAGGACAGCCUCUUGUCACUUUCUCCUCCUUUGAAAAAUAGAUGAGACCUUCCAUGUCCCAUAUAUGCGUUAUUGAAACAGUUUAUAGCGUGUUAUCGCUGGUAGUCCAUUAAGUGACCUGGUGCUCAGGGCAGGGAGCUGGGGUCAGAUGGCAAACCUCACACCCUGCAAGAUACAGCUCAGCCCACUACGAAUGUUCAGUUUAUUUCACUGCACUCCUGUUCCAUGAAAGCCAGCAUCUACCCACAGAACAUCAGAACAGUGAUUUGACUUCCAAACCAAAAUCAGAACCACCAUCCCAUAAGUAGGAUGGCUCUUACGGGCCAUCCCUGGACAAGCAAAGGAAACAAGGGCUUUCCUGAAACAUCAGGGGCUCUAUUCAGAAUGUCAGAAUACCAGGGACCCCAUUUUGCCUGGUCCACACCAGAUCCUGAGAGGUUUAUGCUGUUUAACUGCACUGGCCUUCAGAGUCCUGGCUGCAGCCCCCGUUGAUAUGCGAGCCAGAGACAGCACUUAUAUAUUGGUCCUCUGUUUACAUUUUUACAACAGACAGGGACCAUUAGCGUCAAAGCCCACAGGCACCGAACUCCAAUUUUUAACCACACAGUUGGUUUAAGUGUAGUUCAAACAACAGACUUGGAGCCAUUUCGAGCCUGCUCUUUGUACACCCCAUAAAACUGCACCCAGCAUCUGCUAGCCAGAGAUCAGACAGCCUGGGGAGGGGGGGCCAUCUACAGACCGCAAGCCCCGAGCCCUCCAGAGCACUCUACCCCAGAGCCUCCCCAGCUCGGCUCCCCCUGCCCAGAGGCAUCGCCCAGAUGCAUAAGCCCCCUCCCUCCUCCCUCUGUGGGAGGCCCGCCUACACUGUUGGCUCUGGACAGUCUCAUGCAAACCUGCCCAAACGCCACCCCACCAGGGGAGGUGAGAGCUUGGCCUCGAGAUGAGGUCUGCAUCCAAGGCCACUCCACCACUCGGUAACUGAGCAACCCCGGCCAAAGAACAGUCGCUCUCCAAGCCUCAGUUUCCCCAUCUGUAAAAGUGGGAAGAGUAGGGCUGCCUUACAACAGUAAGGAGAGGACUGGAUGUGAUAAGGCGCACGGCCCGGCAGAGGAGCCCCUCACUGCGUGAAGGCUGCUGGGCGGGGCUCGCCAUGCUCCCCCUCCCCAGCCCCCGUAACGCAGCUUAUUUAGUUUCCACCCACUCGCCCUGGCUUCCUCUCCCCUUCCUUGACAUCUGCAGGGAUGGCACACGGUGUUGCUGAGAACUGCUGUCUUUGCCUCAGUCCUGACUUCCAUGGGGGUGUGUCCACGAAGGCUGAUGUUUGGUUUGGUCUUGGGGCGGAGGAGAUCCAGCAGUUCUUUCUCACCCUGGGCUGGGACCUCUGUUCUCAGAGAUUCUGGGCCACCGCGUGCCACCCGCCCUCGGGCACCCACCUCGAAGGAGCUCCUGCUUCCUCGUGAGGCACUCGCGCUCCUUGUCACAGAUCUCCCGCCUGUUGUCGGCCGUGAUCCUCUUCAUCGCCAGCUCCAGGUCCUCCUUCUGCUUGGCUAGGAAGUCCCGGUCCUGUUAUGGUUAAGUAUCGAAAGUUUCAGGUGCGUUUAUUGCAUUGAGGUUAUUUUUUUAGAGAUUCAUAUUGAGAUAUUUACAGGUAAAAUGAUACGGUGUCUGCGAUUUGAGUCAAAAUAACAGAGUGGGGAAGCGAGUGGCUAGGAGCUGAUUGUUUCUGAGAUCAGGUGACAGGUUUGUGGGAGUUCAUUAUCCUGAUGUACCUAUUUCUGCUUAGGUGUCUCAUUUUCCUUAAUAAAGAGUAAAACAUAAAAUUUAAGCUUAAAAAUUUUAGCUACUGUAUAGGAAAUAGAUAAGCAAGAGGGACCUACUGUAUAAUACAGGGAACUAUAGUUAAUAUUUUGUAAUAAUUUACAAGGGAAAAAUCCCCCAAAAUGUUGUAAUAAUUUUUAAGGGAAAAGAAUCCCCAAAAGGAAAAAAUACACACACACACAUAAAACUGCAUCACUCUGCUGUACACCUGAAACUAACACACACUGUGACUGAACUCUAUUGCAAUAAAUUUUUAAAGUUUUUAAAUAAAAAUUUUUGGAAACACGUAAAAAACUA